rnacentral:piRNA from 1 species
UAAGUGGAUUUCUUUCUAUAUUCUUUUCU